rnacentral:lncRNA from 1 species
AUUUUUCCCAUUUUAAUCUGCCAUAUUUUCAUCCCAAUUCUCAGUCCACAUAAGUCAUUCAAGUACCACUUCAUUAGAAAUGGGAAGGCCAUGGAGAGAAGCCAGGAUGCUUUAAACCAAAUUUUCCAUCAUUUGGCCGGUAUCUGCAGGAUCACCAGACUAGAGAAUCCUGAGGGAAAAGCUUCUUCUCCUUUGCUUUUGAUCCAGUAUCUGUGCCAGCCCCCAGCACCUGUGGUAUCCAGACCUGCUUUUGGGAAGGUCAGAGGCUGGAAACUAUCAGACUCCAGGGUAAGAAAGAGGGGAGGAAAAGCUUUAGAGUGUUUUUGUUGCACAGAAGCAAGGACAAUGCAGGCCAAAUUGUGUUUUUGUUUCGUGUUGUUUUUUAUUAAAUCCUGACAACUGAUUACCCAGACAGCUUAUUUAUGCAACUGAAAUCCUACGCUCUAGGAGUACUGCCCUAUAAAUACAGAAUAUAAAGGUAAACAAAUUCGUUUCUAAUACAUCUCUGGCCAGAUGGGGCUGGAGGGGAGGUGGACACCCAGCUCACCUCAAUUCCCCCUCAAUGCCCUGCCCGAACUUACUUGGUCCUGACAUCCCUGCCUUUGCCUUCUCAUUGUACCAAAAGCUGAAACUGCUAAAGUCUCUCCACUAUCCAUUGUCCAAACAUAAUAGUUUUGAAACUUAGGGAGAAUAUUCUGCAGAAUCUUCUAGUUUACCGCCCCCGGCAACUAUCCAUUACAAAAAAUAACGCCAUCUUUCCAAAUUUCCUAUAAGGCCAGAAAUCUAUGCAUUUAAUGAGUAUUGAACAAUUGCCCUGAGUGUCAGCCCUGUGCUUGGUACCAGGAAUAGUGGUGAAAAUGUGAAGACAGCUGCUUCCAGAGCUCCUACUCAGCAGGGGACAGACAAGUAAACAAGAGGAACCACACUCACAAGGUAGAGGGAAGGAGGGAGGGAGGGAGGGGGAAAGAGAGAGAAAGAGAAAUCAAACCAGCCAGC